UUCUCAACAGCAAAUAAUCUCAGUUCUGAGCAUCUUCCUGAGGCCAAAGGGAAACAUUUUGGUUGUUCUUGGCUCUGAAGACUCCACCUUGCAGCAGCCUCUGGUAGUGAUGUGCCCAUGACCCAGAGCAUCCUUACGCCCAUGUCCGAACUGAGACGGGUCCUGUGCUGGAGCAGCCCCUGCCCCCAGCCCCACGUGCAGCCUUGUGGCCGCCGGGUAGAGGAAUGCUGAGUGAAAGAGAACAGCAAAGAUCCAACCCAUGUUUAUUUUGAAAUAAUCUCUGGAAACAUAACAUGAUAGCAACUCGAGUAACUCCUUUCCUUUUGGCAGUUGCAGCUCUUCUUGAAAUAAACAGUGACAUCAUUGAGCAGACACAAGAAGUGGCAGCUUUUGGGAUGUUCUUCAUCGCCUGGUUUGUUUGGAAUUCCCUCUGCCACAAACAAAACAAACCUCCAAGGAUAGAAACACCCUGAAAAUCCUCAGCUCACCGAUGCGCAGUGGUGUUUUGUCCUGGUUGCUGCUUGCUGCUUUGUGGGGUAGUCAGCACUGAAAAUCACGGGGGGGAAAUCUGCAAGACUACCCGGUACGGCAGCAUUUAAGUCAAGUUCACAUCUUGCUGAGUGUGCAGCUUGGAUACCCAACAGCUUCUGGCCAAUACAGAUUGAAACAUUUGGAGCCACAUGCAAGUCACACCCUUUCUCUGAAACAUUUCUGGUCACAAAGCCUGAGCUGUUUUAAGUGCAUGUGAAUAUGUGUGCAUGUGUGCGUGUGCUUUUGGCAAGGGGAGAGCUGGGAAGACAACAACCACCUACAUCUGGAGACUUGAGGGAAUUCUCGGACUUGGUUUCUGGAAACAAGGGCAAAAUAAUAUCUGAAUCAUGGGAAUGUGACAAGAAAUAGAGCAAAAUGAAAGCACAGAGGAGAGAGAAAUUAGGACUGAAGAUGACUGGAAAAGUGGAAUCCCAACAGGAGACAUGACUGAUGGAUGACGGAUAAAAGAUGAAGGAUGAAGGGAGAUCUCAGCUGUCUUAUGCAGCCUUCUAGCACAGGGAACAAUUAGCUUCUCCUUCUGUAGGAGGACCAGCACCCAGUUAAUACCGCCAUCUAGACGGCUGCAUUCAUUUCCCCCUGUAAUAUGGGAGAUUAGGACCGAACACCUGGUGUUCUAAAAGCCAGAGAUGACGGCAGGAUGUGUCUGCUGAUCAGGAUGUGUCUGCUGAUCUCCAGCCCUUUUGAAGGUUUCCUUAUGCACAUGACCAAAUGUUUGCUGCUGCUAACGGCACACCCCUGUGAGUCCAGCAAGACGCACGGCUCGCCAGCAACGCGAGGGAAUUGGUAGAGCCUUGUGCUACUGUGGAAUGUCACAGUUUGGUUUCUUCUGGUGAGAAAUUAUACAGGGAAAAGGAGGAGAAGAAGCAAAACCCAGAGGCUGGUGCUGGACCCAGGGCAAAUACUCAGCCUUCACGUUAGGCUCCCCUGUCUUGGUGGAUGGGGAGUCCGAGCGCUGCAACCUAUCCAGCUCUUCUGCACCUUACUGGGCCAAGCUGAGCAGCGUUCCCAGCUGUGACACAUGGAUCACUGCAGUAUGUUGCCAUGGAUGAUUUCACAAUUAAAAACAAAUACAACUUAUGCUGCAGCCGAUGUUAUAAAAAUAAAGGGAGCUACUUUGCAUAACAGCAUAAUUAGGGCCCUAAUUGCCAGCUGGUUUGUUAAACCAUAAAUGUAAACAAACAGGGCUAUAAAUUAAAUUAUUAGAAUGAUAUUAUGGCUUGGGGAGAUAUUACACCAUGAGAGCUUAUUUUGAGGAUUACACUAUAAACAGAGUAAACCCAAAACCAGCUUAGCAAAGGCUAAGCAGCCCUCUUCUCAAGUCAUCUUUCUCAUAACCCUGGGGAUCGUUCAAACAAUUUGUCAUCAUCUUCUUUCCACUUGAGAUCAUCAGUGCUUCCUCUCUACAGGAGGACACCACAAAAGACAGAUACUAGUUUUCAGUGUGAAGAGGGGCAGAAAGAUACACCAUAUGGAAAGACACAGAUGAAGAGAAGGAAUAUGCAUUUUCGUAUCUUUUUUUCUUAAAGAGGGACCUAGCAUUGGGAAUGACGCUGGACCCAGAGUUUUCCUGGAAAGCUUACUUUCUGCUAAAAUCUGAUGCAUCAUUAAAGCCUUUAAAAUAUUCAGCACUCACAUUCCUGCCGUACUGUUUUCUGCUGCUCUUGUUCACUUUUGGUUGAACAGCUGGACUUAUAGAGACAGUCAGAGUGUACCCAUACGACACAGCACCAACAAACCAAGGAAUGAUACCGAGCCUUCUUUAACAGCAUCUUCCCUAUAAGUUAUUUUCUUAUAUGCAUAGACAAAGGACACACUGGUGUGCUAUUAGAUUGAG